UUUCAUGUAAAAUCGCUGAUAUUGGAUUCAAGUUAAGAUUCUUGAACAAUCUGACCCAGGGGUAUUUUGAUACAAAAUUGAUACGAGUUUUUUUCUCUUUUCUUUCUAAAGAAUUUAGCAUUUUUUUCUUGGUCCUAUUUAUAUGCUAUCUACAAGUUUUCAUGCAAAAACGCUGAUAUUGUAUUCAGGUUAAGAUUCUUGAACAAUCUGACCCAGGGGAAUUAUGAUACAAAAUUUAUACGAGUUUUGUUUUCUUUUCUUCCUAAAAAAUUUUGCAUUUGUUUCUUGGACCUCUUAAUGUGCUAUCUACAAGUUUUCAUGCACACGCGCCGACAUUUGAUUCAGGGCAAAAUUCUUGGCCAAUCGGACCAAGGGGCAAUUUUUUUUUUUUUUGUCAAACCAUUUGUUUCAUGGUCCACUAUAUAUGCUCUCGACAUGUUUUCAUGCAGAAACGCUGAUAUAGGAUUCAGGUAAAAAUUCUUGAACAAUCUGAACCAGGGACAUUUUCGAACAAAAUUGAUACGAGUUCCGCCGGCACCUUAUGAGAAAUCAAAGUCUUUGGGUUCCGGGGGGAGUAUGGUCGCAAGGCUGAAACUUAAAGGAAUUGACGGAAGGGCACCACCAGGAGUGGAGCCUGCGGCCUAAUUUGACUUAACAUGGGGAAACUUACCAGGUUCAGACAUAGUAAGGAUUGACAAAAUGAGAGCUCUUUCUUGAUUCUAUGGGUGGUGGUGCAUGGCCGUUCUUAGUUGGUGGAGUGAUUUGUCUGCUUAAUUCCGUUAACGAACGAGACCUCAGCCUGCUAACUAGCUAUGCGGAGGUGACCCUCCGCGGCCAGCUUCUUAGAGGGACUAUGGCCGCUUAGGCCAAGGAAGUUUGAGGCAAUAACAGGUCUGUGAUGCCCUUAGAUGGUCUGGGCCGCACGCGCGCUACACUGAUGUAUUCAACGAGAUUAUAGCCUUGGCCGACAGGCCCGGGUAAUCUUGGAAAUUUCAUCGUGAUGGGGAUAGAUCAUUGCAAUUGUUGGUCUUCAACGAGGAAUUCCUAGUAAGCGCGAGUCAUCAGCUCGCGUUGACUACGUCCCUGCCCUUUGUACACACCGCCCGUCGCUCCUACUGAUUGAAUGGUCCGGUGAAGUGUUCGGAUCGCGGCGACGUGGCCGGUUCGCUGCCGGCAACGUCGUGAGAAGUCCACUGAACCUUAUCAUUUAGAGGAAGGAGAAGUCGUAACAAGGUUUCCGUAGGUGAAUCUGCGGAAG
rnacentral:rRNA from 1 species